AUCAUGUAUGCCUGCCCGGUGACCAUGAGUUUAACGGCCGCGGUAUUCUGACCGCGCAAAGGUAGCGUAAUCACUUGUCUUCUAAAUAAAGACUAGUAUGAACGGCCACACGAAGACUUGACUGUCUCCCUAGUCCAAUCAGUGAAACUAAUCUCCUCGUGCAGAAGCGAGAAUACACCCAUUAGACGAGAAGACCCUAUGGAGCUUUAAACUCAAUAUUAAUUAUAUUUAACUCUUCUCUAAGGAACUAACAACUUUUUAAACUUAAUAUUAGUUUUAGGUUGGGGCGACCAUGGAGAAAAAAAUAUCCUCCCUGAUGAUUUUCUAACCAAGAGCUACAGCUCUAAGUAUUAAGACCCUUAACUCCCAUUGACCCAUUUUAUGAUCAACGAACCAAGUUACCCUAGGGAUAACAGCGCAAUCCAUUUCAAGAGUUCCUAUCGACAAAUGGGUUUACGACCUCGAUGUUGGAUCAGGGCAUCCUAGUGGUGCAACCGCUACUAACGGUUCGUUUGUUCAACGAUUAAAGCCCUACGUGAUCUGAGU
rnacentral:rRNA from 1 species